rnacentral:siRNA from 1 species
CAUGGCCAAACUCAUAACU